rnacentral:rRNA from 1 species
GAGACUCUGUGCGCGUGCAUAUCAAUAAGCGGAGGAAAAGAAACUAACUAGGAUUCCCUUAGUAACGGCGAGUGAAGCAGGAAGAGCUCAAAUUUGAAAUCUUCAAGGUUCUACCUUGACGAAUUGUAGUUUAAAGAAGUGUUUUCUGUUGGAGUUUUGGUAAAAGUUCUUUGGAAUAGGACAUCAUAGAGGGUGAGAAUCCCGUAUUUGACCAUUUCUUCCAGCUGUGUGAUACACUUUCAAAGAGUCGGAUUGUUUGGGAAUGCAGUCCAAAAUGGGUGGUAAAUUUCAUCUAAAGCUAAAUAUUGGCGAGAGACCGAUAGCGAACAAGUACCGUGAGGGAAAGAUGAAAAGAACUUUGAAAAGAGAGUUAAACAGUACGUGAAAUUGUCAAAAGGGAAGCGUUUGACACCAGUGUUGUUUUCUCGAAAAUCAAUUAAAAAUGGCCGGAUUUUGUGUUGUAUUGACUUUAUCAGCUUUCUGCACUUUUUUCUUGUCUUUUUUAAUGCACUUUUCGUUUAACAAGUCAACAUCAAUUUCUUUUGUUGUAAAAGGGUCAUUGGAAGGUGGCUUUCUUUUCGGAGAAAGUGUUUAUAGCCUUUGAUCUCUGCAACCGGAGAGACUGAGGUCUGCAGCGUAGACUCUUCGGGGUUAGAUACAUUUGUGCUAAGCUAUAGCUUUUUAUAGACAACUUGUUGACUAUAUUUAGUCUUGUGGCUUACUCGCUUAUGCUAUUUUACCUACGCUUAGGAUGUUGAACUCUAUCACACACAG